CCUACGGGGGGCUGCAGUGGGGAAUAUUGGACAAUGGGCGAAAGCCUGAUCCAGCCAUGCCGCGUGUGUGAAGAAGGCCUUCGGGUUGUAAAGCACUUUCAGUGGGGAAGAAAGCCUUGGGGCUAAUACCCUCGAGGAAGGACAUCACCCACAGAAGAAGCACCGGCUAACUCCGUGCCAGCAGCCGCGGUAAUACGGAGGGUGCGAGCGUUAAUCGGAAUUACUGGGCGUAAAGCGCGCGUAGGCGGUCUGAUAAGCCGGUUGUGAAAGCCCCGGGCUCAACCUGGGAACGGCAUCCGGAACUGUCAGGCUAGAGUGCAGGGGAGGAAGGUAGAAUUCCCGGUGUAGCGGUGAAAUGCGUAGAGAUCGGGAGGAAUACCAGUGGCGAAGGCGGCCUUCUGGACUGACACUGACGCUGAGGUGCGAAAGCGUGGGUAGCAAACAGGAUUAGAUACCCGGGUAGUC
rnacentral:rRNA from 1 species